CGGGGGGAUGCAGCAGCAAAUUCAUGUUUUGGAGUGUUGUACAAAGUUCAAAACGUGAAGCGCUGCUACACCCCCUCGCGGGAAA
rnacentral:pre_miRNA from 15 species